AUACAAAUUAUAAAGGACAGUUACAAAGAGGUUCCGUCACUCUUCUCCCUAACUCAAUUUCUGCAAAAUAAACUCCACAUAUGUUGUUCUGGGAACUGUUAAGAACGCGUCGACGGGCUGGCUGCACAGGGAGCCUCAUGGUUGACUAACUCGGCUGCCAGCCAGGCCCAGAUGCAGCGUUUCGAGUAGGUCCACCCCAACGUUUGCUCCAUCCGUGAGUUGCUGAAGCGGGCAGAGGAGCUGAUGUAGCAGAACCAGAUCCAGGAACGAGUCAUCACCAACAAAGAUGAAAUCCUGAAUCAUGUCUCUGACUGAAGCCAGCACCCACCAUAGGGAAGCAGCUCAGAGGAGCCGAAGAGAGAGACACGGAGGCUCCGAGAGUGACAGGGAGACCGCAGAGCCAGCAGAAUCCUCAGAAAAACUAGAGAAGGGCAGGCCCAUGGGAGGAUGCUUUUAAAAGUGGACUCAUGAAACUGAAAGGAAAUAAGGGUGGAGCGGAAGGAGGUGGUGGUGUCGGUGGGUCAGGGGCAGGGGAGAAGGCGGAAACGACAGACGGCUAUGCAGUGGUCCAUGCUGUAGCCAGAAACCACGUGCAAGUUCAGGAUCCGCGCUCCCUCUGACUGUAAAAGGAGGCAUGGACGCUUCUUUUACAGUGGGGUGGAUAGCUGCAGACUCACAGUUGAGAAAGGAAGACAUAGAAGGCUUGUGUGACAACCUUUAUCCCCUACCUCACUCCCUCCUCCCCUACCCCCAAAGUAAGGAAGCAAGCAAUCAAGUAAGCCAGCCUAGACUGGAAGCCAUUGAAGACAAAAAUUGAGCUAAGGAUGCUGAAGUGUAGCUCUCCACACGUGAUGGCUUCUGGCAGGGGUGUGGGUGCGGAAGGACUCAGUUUUCUUUGAGAAGCUGGUCACGGAGUUCGACCACGCUCCACUCCUGCUUCCUGACCUGCUUGAGUUCCAGUCCUGACUUCCUUUGGUGAUGAACAGCAAAGUGGAAGUGUGAGCUGAAUAAACCCUUUCCUCCC